rnacentral:rRNA from 1 species
UGGCGACCGGCGCACGAGUGCGUAACGCGUAUGCAACCUACCCAUAACAGGGGGAUAACACUGAGAAAUUGGUACUAAUACCCCAUAACAUCAGGACCGGCAUCGGUUCUGGUUGAAAACUCCGGUGGUUAUGGAUGGGCAUGCGUUGUAUUAGCUGGUUGGUGAGGUAACGGCUCACCAAGGCAACGAUACAUAGGGGGACUGAGAGGUUAACCCCCCACAUUGGUACUGAGACACGGACCAA